rnacentral:tRNA from 1 species
UUUCAAGUGGUGUAAAGGUAACACAACAGAUUUUGGUUCUGUAAUUAAAGGUUCAAGUCCUUUCUUGAAAG